AAAAAGAAGAAGAAAAGAAAGAAAAAGAAGGUCAAUAAGGGGAACAUCGGCAGCUACAAUGAUGAGGCUUUCGGGACAACCUGAGUGGCGUUGAAGAAAAUUUUCGAUAUGGGAAACUGAACUCACAAGCUUAGUGACUGAAUUUUGAGUUAUAUUUUCAUCAUUUCUGCUUUGAGUAAAUGCUUUUAGCAAGUGUGCACGCAGCCAAAAAAUCCUGCAACUUGGAGGGCACAGAAGGCCAGGUAAUCAUGCAAAGAACCAAGCAACAACGUAAACCCAAAACAUGUUUUCAUUAGGAGUAGACCUAACAUGAGACCUACAAGACACUGGUUGCUGAAAAUGUGCCUUUGAAAUUUUAUCUUGAGAACAGGACAUAGAUUCUCGUGUCUGGGCAUGGGCUGUCUGGCUUUUCUUCCCCUUUGGAGCUUCUCUGUAGGGUCAUCUCCCCAUCGUGAAGGCCCCAUUACAAGUACAAAAUGAAUGUGAUGUGCUUUCCCCCUUCUUUUUUUUCCUUCCCUUUUUCUUUUUGUAUUACUUUAAGGCUUGAUAAUGAUGCCUGGGACUAUAAAAGAUUGACCUGAACAUCAAAGAAACAAAAAGAAAG
rnacentral:misc_RNA from 1 species